UAGGGAAUCUUCCGCAAUGGACGAAAGUCUGACGGAGCAACGCCGCGUGAACGAUGAAGGCCUUCGGGUCGUAAAGUUCUGUUGUUAGGGAAGAACAAGUAUCGGAGUAACUGCCGGUACCUUGACGGUACCUAACCAGAAAGCCACGGCUAACUACGUGCCAGCAGCCGCGGUAAUACGUAGGUGGCAAGCGUUGUCCGGAAUUAUUGGGCGUAAAGCGCGCGCAGGCGGUUCCUUAAGUCUGAUGUGAAAGCCCCCGGCUCAACCGGGGAGGGUCAUUGGAAACUGGGGAACUUGAGUACUGAAGAGGAAAGCGGAAUUCCACGUGUAGCGGUGAAAUGCGUAGAGAUGUGGAGGAACACCAGUGGCGAAGGCGGCUUUCUGGUCAGUAACUGACGCUGAGGCGCGAAAGCGUGGGGAGCAAACAGGAUUAGAUACCCUGGUAGUCCACGCCGUAAACGAUGAGUGCUAAGUGUUAGAGGGUUUCCGCCUUUAGUGCUGCAGCAAACGCAUUAAG
rnacentral:rRNA from 1 species